UCUCCGUUGGUGAACCAGCGGAGGGAUCAUUACUGAGUGAGGGCCUUCGGGCUCGACCUCCAACCCUUUGUGAACACAACUUGUUGCUUCGGGGGCGACCCUGCCGUUUCGACGGCGAGCGCCCCCGGAGGCCAUUAAACACUGCAUCAUUGCGUCGGAGUUAAAGUAAAUUAAACAAAACUUUCAACAACGGAUCUCUUGGUUCCAGCAUCGAUGAAGAACGCAGC
rnacentral:misc_RNA from 1 species